GACGGGUGGACAGAGAGAGACAGACAGACACACAGAGAGACAGACAGAGGGAAACAGAGACAGACAGACAGGUGAACAGACAGACAGAUAGAGAUCAGAGAGGAUGCUGGGACAGCGGGGCGGGUCGGGAGGUCGUGACUGGGUGACGCUGGUGUCGGGGCUGGUGGAGUGCCUGUGUUUCGCUGGGGUGGUGUUCGGCUGGGCCUCCCUGGUGUUCAUCCUGAAAGCGGAGGGCUACUUCAGCGACUUCUGCCUCAACACCACUGGAGCCAACAGCAGCGUUCUCACAGAUUGCAGUGGUCAGGAUGAGCAGUUCUCCCUGGUCUUCACCGUUGCCUCCUUCUUGAACAACUUCAUGACGCUGGCCAAUGGCUUCUUAUUUGACCGCUUCGGCACCAUGGCAGCCAGAUUCUUGGCCAUAUCUCUCCAUACCACUGGCACACUGAUGGUUGCUUUUUCUACUGCAGUGAUAUCCACUUUGCUCUUCCCUGCUCUGUCCUUCAUCACCAUUGGAGGGAUGUUACUGCUCAUCACAAACAUACAGGUGGGGAACCUGUUUGGCUCUCAUCGCUCAACUGUCAUCACCCUGUACAAUGGAGCCUUUGACUCUUCCUCUGCGGUCUUCCUCAUUAUCAAGGUGCUGUAUGAAAGAGGGAUUUCUCUGCGCUCCUGCUUCCUCUUCAUGUCGGCCUGCAGCGUCAUCCACCUCCUCCGAACUUUCCUUCUCCUGCCCAAGACUCACAUCCCCUAUCCACUGCCUGAAGACUACACUUAUGGGCUGAGCUGCGGCACAUCCGGGAGCCACAGCGUGGAGGGGGCUGGGCGGGCGGGAGGAGCAGACAGCAAGCGGAGCGAGCCCCAGAGCGACAGUGUGCCCUUCCAGCCUGAAGACAAACCACCGUCCCAGACCUCAGAGGAGAGAGAGCCCAGUUUCAGCAGCUGUGUGCUGUCCUGGUUCUUCCUCUUCCACCUGGUCUGGCUCUCCCUCAUGCAGCUCAGACACUACCUGUUCAUUGGGACUCUGAACCCCAUGCUGACCCGCCUGGCGGACGGGGACCCCUCCCUAGUGAGCAGGUACACCAAUGCCUUUGCCUUUGCACAGCUGUGUGGGGUUCUCUGUGCACCGUGGAAUGGACUCAUCCUGGACAGAAGCAAAGGGAAGCAGCGAGCUCCAGGAGAGACAGAGAAGGAGGCUGACCUGCGCUCCUCUGCUCUCUCCCUCUUUAUCACCUCCCUCCUGUGCCUCCUCUUCUCCAUCUGCGCCUCCAUUUCAGUGCUCCCUCUGCAGUACCUCACCUUCGCCCUGCAGGUCAUCAGUCGCUCCUUCCUGUACGGAGGCAAUGCAGCCUUCAUCAGCAUUGUGUGAGUAAUAACAAUAAUAAUAGAGAGGUUCAGCUCCAAAUCACGCCCUGUACCCCUGUACCCUGAGAGAGGUUCAGCUCCAAAUCACGCCCUGUACCCCUGUACCCUGAGAGAGGUUCAGCUCCAAAUCACACCCUGUACCCCUGUACCCUGAGAGAGGUUCAGCUCCAAAUCACGCCCUGUACCCCUGUACCCUGAGAGAGGUUCAGCUCCAAAUCACACCCUGUACCCCUGUACCCUGAGAGGUUAUACUCCAAAUCACACGCUGUACCCCUGUACCCUGAGAGAGGUUCAGCUCCAAAUCACACCCUGUAUCCCUGUACCCUGAGAGAGGUUCAGCUCCAAAUCACGCCCUGUACCCCUGUACCCUGAGAGAGGUUCAGCUCCAAAUCACAC